rnacentral:rRNA from 1 species
AGCAGCCGCGGUAAUUCCAGCUCCAAUAGCGUAUAUUAAAGUUGUUGCAGUUAAAAAGCUCGUAGUUGAAUUUCGGGGCCAGUAGGUCGGUCGUGCCACUGGUAUGAACUGGUCUCACUGGUCCCUCCCUCUUGAAGAACCGUGAUGCCAUUAAUUUGGUGUUGCGGGGAAACAGGACUGUUACUUUGAAAAAUUAGAGUGCUUAAAGCAGGCUUACGCUUGAAUACAUUAGCAUGGAAUAACGAAAUAGGACGAUCGAUUCUAUUUUGUUGGUUUCUAGGAUCGACGUAAUGAUUAAUAGGGAUAGUUGGGGGCAUUAGUAUUCAAUUGUCAGAGGUGAAAUUCUUGGAUUUAUUGAAGACUAACUACUGCGAAAGCAUUUGCCAAGGAUGUUUUCAUUAAUCAAGAACGAAAGUUAAGGGAUCGAAGACGAUCAGAUACCGUCGUAGU